UUUUGAAUUUUUCAUUUAUAAUAAAAAAAAAAUUGAUUUUCAAAUACAUCAUAUAAAGUACGAAAACAAAAGAUUCAACAAACUCAACUAGAUUACAACAAACUGUGACGCCACCUAAAAGAAUUAAUAUUUCUAGACAAGAGUUAUAAAAUAAAAGACAAAACAGACUCAAAAUAUAAAUAGUCUCCUCAAACAGCUCUUGAAAGCAAUGGUCCUGACUGGAAUGGUUCUGGGGUAUUUGUCAUGCUCGAGCUCUGGUAAAUGGAUCCAUACCUGAAUGAGAAAAAAAAUAAGACCAAAUAGAGUUAAUGACUCGAGACACUAUGUAAGACCAUAACGCUUCUGAUUGGGCCAUGCAAGGCACGAGUGAGACUAUCUUUGCAAAAUGACCUACGUGGCCUAAAUGUGACUAGAAGUGCAAACUCAACAAGGAUGACCACUAAGAUAUGGAAAAAUAUCUCAAAAAGGCCCAUAUGACCCCUAAACUCUCAGGAAUCACGGUCUCUAAGAUUACUUUGCACAAAUAACCCUACUUUGCAGAAAUGGCCUAUGUAGAAAAAAAUGUCUAAGCGCGCAGAUUUAACAAGAAUGGACCUUAAACAGAGAGGAUACCUUAUUGUGGACUUAGGACUCUAAGACAUGGGUCACAGAACCACUUUUGUAAAAAUGACCCAUUUUGCAAGAACGACCGAUGUGGCCAAAAGUGGCCAGACAUACAAAUUCAACAAGGAUGGACCUUAAAGUAAAGAGAAAACUAAUUAUGAAUUCAAGAUUCUCCAAACACGGUUCGACAAGCCACUUUGCAAAAAUAGCCUUAUUUUGCAAAACGGUCGAUGUGGCCAAAAGUGACUAGACAUGCAAGAUUUGGCUACGACCCCCGAAGCUAAGAAUAUAAGACUCACUAGGAAGACCGAAUCCUAUAUGGGUUGCCUACGUAUCCUGGCACGAAAGACGAGAAUCAGGUAUGCGUAGUUCGGGAAGAAUGAAUGUGGGAGAGAAUUUGAAAAAAAAAUAACUGAUUUGGAGAAAAUAUAUUUUUGUCUUUUUUUAAAAAUGAUGAAAAUGUAAAAUCUUUUUGGAUUUUCUUUUCUCUUUUUUGGGGGGAAAACUAUGAAAGAAAAAAGUGAGUGGCCCCUACUUGCUUCAUUUUAAAUUGCACCAUCUUUUCUUUCUCAUCGGUCAGUCAAAUGACUCAUUUACCCUUAAAGAAUGUAGCAUGUAGCACAUAGGGAUGAUUAAAGGUCUUUUUGGGCCACGGACCCAUUUUGACAUAAUUUGGAUAGCCCUCCUACAAAGGGACACGUCGCCUGGGACCGAGCCCUGCUAGGUCAAAAUGACAUGAUGCAAAUAAGAAUGACCUAAAGCGUGACCUAGGUUUGGGAUUUACUAGACAAGGCAAUUUGGGGCGGCACAUGGUCGAUGGCGGCUGCUCUAGAUGUCCGCCCAAUCCACGCUCCCACGCCACUCCCCAAUGACACGGGUGGCUCACAAAAAGGCCGUGUAUGCUCAAACGUACUCCGGGAGACUUGUUGCAGAAAGAAGACUCAUGGUUAUGCAAAUGAUGACAGUUUAUAAAUCAAUAAACACAUAAAGGAAAACUGUAAAUAUAUAAACAACUAGCAAAUAAUAAAGUAAAAAAAUAAAAGCAAACAAAGCAAAUAAAAAACAAAAAUACCUCAACCGAAUAUUCUAAAAAGUCAACUAGAUCAAAGUAUCAGCUCGAACUUGCAACUCCCCAGUGGAGUCGCCAAAGCUGUCACACCCCUUUUUUCAUCUCACUAACUCUCUUAAAAUUAAUAAAGUAGUUUUAAAGCUCGAAAGGGUUUUCAAAUUAAAAGAGACAAAAUUGUGUUCAAAGGAUUUUUUAGAGUCGCCAUCUGACAUUUGGUUUCGGUGUGCCAGGUCACCGUUUAAAAAUAAUUUUUCCUUUUGAAAACACAUUUAGACUCUAAAACAUAGUCCGCACCAGAGAUUCAGAGAAAGGGGGUUCGUUUGACUCGGGGAGAAGAUGUUAGGCAUUCCCCGAGUUCCGUAAUUAAUACAGUUGCAUACUUGAUCUAGUUGGCUUUAAAGAACACUCAAGCUGAGGCAAAAACACAUGAAGAAAGAUAAACACUCAAGAGGGGGUUCGUUUGACUCGGGGAGAAGAUGUUAGGCAUUCCCCGAGUUCCGUAAUUAAUACAGUUGCAUACUUGAUCUAGUUGGCUUUAAAGAACACUCAAGCUGAGGCAAAAACACAUGAAGAAAGAUAAACACUCAAGAGGCUCGAGGUCGUCCCUACUUAAAUAAAAAAAUAAGAGAAAAAUACUGAGAGUCUAUACUAUGCUCCCUCCACGAUGUCUGUCACGACCUCCCAUUACAUUCACUACGAGGUAUAUUCUGGAUAAAAAUAUAUAUAUAAUCUACGGGGCAUUCCCCUAAAUAAAAUAAUAAGUAAGAGAGCGACCUUUAGCCUCAAAAGCCAAAAAACAAAGAAAAUAUCUUAAAAGUUGCCUACCCGGGCAUGGUCGGCCUAACAUGCACCUAGCGGUUAAAGCAAUAAAAUAAACUAAAAUAAAAUAAGACAUUCCUUUCAUACUCAUUUUUCUUUCAAAACUUCACAUCAUUCAUCAAGCCUAAAUCACUUAAUUCCAAUUAACUGGAUUCUUGUCUCAUCCAAUACCACCCAAUGGCUAACUAAUGCUCACGAUCAGUUAGAUUAGCCUAAUUUCUCCUUGUGAUUUUCGAAUUAUUUCCUUAACAUUCUAACUUCUUUGUGAGCUAUGAUGUUUUUUCAAUUCCAAUCUACUAUAAAAUAAAUAAGAUCAUGUCAAUGUAAUCAAUCCAAUCUCCUGGUGUACUCCUCCGUUGUUUACACAAUUUCAAGGCAACAAGCUGAUUAAAAGUUGUAACGACCCGGCCGGUCGUUUCAUGAGUUACCGCUCUAUUUCCCCCAUUUCUGCUUCUAAUUUCUUUGUUUAUCGGUACUAUGUGUGAUCGGGUUGGUUGGUUCGGGUUCGGAGAGGUUUUGGUAAGGUUUGAGAUACUUAGUCUCUUUUGAGGAAGCUUAAGUUGGAAAAGUCAACCGAAUGUUGACUUAUGUGUUAAAGGGCUCGGAUGUGAAUUUCUAUGGUUCGGAUAGCUUCGGGAGAUAAUUUGGGACUUAGGAGCAUGAUCGAAAUAUGUUUUGGAGGCUCGGAGUGGAUUUAGGCUUGAAUUGGCGAAAAUGGAAUUUUGGCAUUUUCCGGUUGAUAGGUGAGAUUUUUAUAUAGGGGUCAGAACAGAAUUCUGGGAGUUGCAGUAGGUCCAUUGUGUCAUUUGGAAUGUGUGUGAAAACGUUUAGGUCAUUUGGACGUGGCUUGAUAGACUUUUUGAUCGAAAGCGGAAUUUAGAAGAUUUGGAAUUCUUAGACUUGAAUCCGAUGCGAAUUUGGUGUUUUGAUGUUAUUUUGAACAUUCCGAAGGUUGGAACAAGUUUGAAUGAUGUUGUGGGAUAUGUUGGCAUGUUUGGUGGAGGUCCCAAGGGCCUCGAGUGAGUUUCGGGUGGUUAAACGGACCAUUUCAAGUUGUAGAAAGUUGUAGAAAACUGUUGUGUGUGUUGCAAACCAGUUGGCCUUCUCAUUGUGAGUGGGCCCUCGCGUUUGCGAAGGGCUAGAAUGUGAGGCUAAAGGUUUUGCCUUCACGUUCGUGAAGGAGGUCCCGCGUUCGCAAAGGGCUGGGGUCUUUGAGCAUCGCGUUCGCGAUGGUUUAAGAUAUGGGGUCAUCGCAUUCGCGAGGGAGUGGUUGCGUUCGCGUAAGAGGAAUUUGUGGUCAACGCCAGGUUGUGCUUCGCGAAUGUGAGGCUUUGACUGCGUUCGCGAAGAAGGAUUUGAAUGCCUAGGUAGAAUGUUUAAAUAGCCAUUGUCCGUGAUUUUGGGUCUAACUUUCACUAUUUUUGGCGAUUUUGAAGCUUUUUUGAAGGGGAUUGAAGAAGGAAUCAAGGGGGAACACUUGGAGGUAAGAUUUAUGGACUUAAUACUCAAUCCUAAUGUGAUUUCUACCUAAUUAAUCAUGGAAUUUAAGCCUAAUAUUGAAGAACUAGGGCUUGUAAUUGGAGACCUAGAAUUUGGGAUGUGAGGGGUCAUUUGUGGUUGGAUUUUGGUGAUUUUGAUAUGAACAAACUCGGGGAGUGAUAAGGAGUCUAUUGAUAUAAUUUUUAUCGGAAUCCGAGAUGUGGGUCCGGGGUCGAGUUUGGCCAAUUUCGGGAUUUGUGUUGUAAUUUGAUUUCUUUCGAAUGGGCUUUGUUCCCUUAGCAUAUUUUGAUGGUUUUGCACUGAUUUUGAUUAGAUUUGGAGAAUUCGGAGGCCGGUUCGAGAGGCAAGGGCAUCGCGGGCUAGAAUUCAGACCGGAUAGAGGUGAAUAAUGAUUGGAAAUGUUAUUCUGAGGGUAUGAAACCCCGGAUUUCACAUUGUUGUACUAUAUUGAGGUGAUGCACACGCUAGAUGACGAGCGUGGGGUCGUGCACCGUUGAGGAUUGUGACUUAGUCCAUUCCGGAUGACUGUUUUACCGCAUAUUUGAUUGAAAAUUGUUUGCUAUCAUCAUGUUUUGGGCUAAAUGUCAUAUUUAGGCCUCGUUCCAACUAUUUGGACUCUUAGGGAUUUUUUACUGUUAUUUCCUCACUGUUUGAUUUUAUAUCUGUACUCAGUCAUGCUAUAUUAUAUUGUUUUCAUAACUCAGCCAUGUUUACUCUGUUUUAAUACUUUAAAUGAUAUUUUGGGCUGAGCAUCAUAUUUUACUAUGCCCGGGGGGCUUUUAGAGAUUUCUGACUGAGUAGGGCGAGGGCUUGUGUUGUGAGGAUUAUUAUGGGAUCGGGCUGCACACCGCAACAGUGUUGUACUGAUUAUGAUUAUAAGGCCGAGGGCCUGAGUUGUACGCCACGAGGUGGAUUGAUAUGAGGUCGAGAGCCUAUUGAUUAUGCCACGAGAUGGCUUGAUAUUGCGCUUGCCGGUAAGGGGACCCUCCCAGAGUCUGUACGCCCCCAGUGAGCGCGGGUACCCAUUGUGAUAUGGGAUAUAGCCCGAGGGGCUGGUGCUGCUCCAUGUUAUUGCCCGAGGGGCUGAUUCUAUUGAUAUUGUGCCCGAGGCGCGGAUUUUAUGUGUUUAUCUUUUCUAGCUGCUUUUCAUUUACUUGUUUAACUGUUAAAAAGGUGUUUUUAAAGAAGCUUAUUCUGAACUAAGGUGUUUUUAUAAGAUUUCAUUGUUUCGUUGCCUUUUGCUGGUUUUACACUGCUUCUUUAUAGCAUAUCAUUGUGUCUUACGUGAUUUCUUAUCGCUCAGUCUUCAUUAAUUAUUAUUACUCACUGAGUCGGAGUACUCACAUUACUCCCUGCAUCAUGUGUGCAGAUAUAGGAGAUUCGGGUCCCGCUAGCGAGUGUUGAUUGCUUCCAGCUCAGGCGGUUCGGAGUUCACUAGGUAGUUGCUCGGCGUUCGCAGCCCAGUGCUUCUCCCCCUAUCUUAUUUUCCCUUGUUUUAGUUCUGUAAUAGACUAUGUAGACUCUUCCUACUUUUAAUCGGUUAUUAGAUGCUCAUGACUGGUGAUACCCCGAUGUCGGGCUGUGUUGGUUUUUCCGCAAAUUAUACCAUUUCAUUGUUUAUUUGAGAUUUAAUCAUGUUAAAGACUUAAAUUGUGUUAUCUUAAUUACUUAAAAUGAAUUGGGUGUUAUAUCGGCUGGUCUUUUCUUCACGAGUGGUGUCAUCACGACCGGGUCUGGGUUUAGGGUCAUGACAGAAGCAUCAUGAAAAUUAAUAGUUAAGUAACAUCAACUGACUAAUUAAACAAAGGAAAGACAUGCUAACACAGAAGAGUCACAAUUAAUUAGAGCUAUUCAUCAAACUAGCAUAAUAAGCUGAAAUAAAAUGAGUUUGAGAAAUGGACCUUUGUUGAAAGCAAAAUUUCUUUCAGAAUUUGAUUUAAGAAUGCCUUUGAAUACGACACCGAAAAGCAAAAAUUUGACAAUAAACUUGCACUAAAUUGAAAAUCAAUUUACGCCUCUGACCGGACCUUGAACAGAAAAGCACCGACCGGAUCACUCGAACGAUACUCGACGUUACUCAACAAUUAAUGGCGAAACAACCAUGAAAAUGGCUUGUUAUGGAGGACCCAUGGCAGUUUUGGGGACAGAUCUACGAUGGUUCUACCGGUGGUGCUUGUUGUUGCAUCUAUGGUAUUUUGGACUGAUUUUUUGUGAGAGCAAUAACAAAGAGACAAAUCCUAAAAUGGGUGUUGUCUCUGUCCAAAAGUCGAUGUUAUGUGUCGUCUCUCCCCGUUCUCUCACGUCCUCCUCUCUCUUUAUGUAAUGUGUGUUUGGUGUGAGAACAUUCUGUCAAGAGUGGCAUCCAAUGUGCUGAGAUUAAUUGGGGAGCAGGGAAAAAGUUAUGGAUAAGAUAUCAAAUAUAAGAGAAAAAUGACAUGUGAAACUGUUUAUGGGCAAGAAAGGAAAAUUGUGCGCAUGUGCAAUUGGGAAU
rnacentral:lncRNA from 1 species